rnacentral:rRNA from 1 species
GAGUUUGAUCUUGGCUCAGAUUGAACGCUGGCGGCAGGCCUAACACAUGCAAGUCGAGCGGUAGAGAGAAGCUUGCUUCUCUUGAGAGCGGCGGACGGGUGAGUAAUGCCUAGGAAUCUGCCUGGUAGUGGGGGAUAACGCUCGGAAACGGACGCUAAUACCGCAUACGUCCUACGGGAGAAAGCAGGGGACCUUCGGGCCUUGCGCUAUCAGAUGAGCCUAGGUCGGAUUAGCUAGUUGGUGAGGUAAUGGCUCACCAAGGCGACGAUCCGUAACUGGUCUGAGAGGAUGAUCAGUCACACUGGAACUGAGACACGGUCCAGACUCCUACGGGAGGCAGCAGUGGGGAAUAUUGGACAAUGGGCGAAAGCCUGAUCCAGCCAUGCCGCGUGUGUGAAGAAGGUCUUCGGAUUGUAAAGCACUUUAAGUUGGGAGGAAGGGCAGUAAAUUAAUAACUUUGCUGUUUUGACGUUACCGACUAGAAUAAAGCACCGGCUAACUCUGUGCCAGCACG